rnacentral:lncRNA from 1 species
AUAUUUUUAGCAUUGUUUCUUUUUGCAGCAAUACUUGCAACAAGUAUGUUAAAGGAUUUUAUAAUAACACUAUAUUUUUUAAAUCUCAUUGAAAAAGACAGAAUAGGUAGUUAAUGGUUUCCUUCCCUCGUCAUUUUGAUUUUUUAACCUUUUCGUUUUUUCUUUUUAUUUUAUAUACAAAGAAAUAUUUAAACAUGACAUGAUUUCAUAGUGAUUAUCAUGAUUAUGUUGACUUUUUUUUUUAUAACUUGACAAAUUAUUUAUAUAAAAAGUUUUAUAUUUUUUUUAGCAUUUUUCAUUAUCGAUAGUGUUUUGAAAGUUUUGGCUUAACUAUAUAACACAUCACUUUAUAAAAGAAAAUAUAUAUUUCUAAUAAGAAUUGAUGAGAUCUUGAAAAGAUGUAUAUCGCCAUACAUUCAUUUGCCUAGUAUCCAAUCGAGAUAAUUAUCUUUGCAUAGAAACUACUCUAUGUGAAGUCAACCAUCUUCACCAUUUGGAACUCUUGGUUCAAUAGCUUCCUUGUGAGCAGCAACCCUCUAUCAAGGAAACAUGAUAGAAAAUACAAGCCCAGGAAUAUCGUAUCAAUUUGUGAGAUAUAUACUCCGUAUGCACGCGCUACUGGAAUGUUGAUACUUAGAAAUGGAAAAUUUACAGUUGGAAAGCUGAAAACACUUUUUUUUUUCGUAAAGUUAUGUUUUCAACUGACCCUUAUUGUGAAUUUCUAGAUGUAAGUCAAGAUAUGAGUCAUACUUAACUGAAUCUGUUAUAUUCUUUAUCUCUAGUUCGAUGGGAUAGAUGCGUUCACUAUCGUCACCAAAUUUUUAAUUAUUUAGUAAAAGAACAUAUUUUAAGCGGAAAGCAAAGGGGGCACAAUUGGUUCCCGUAUAGGAAUGCCGACAGUCUGUUGAAAAACACGUCCCCAAAAAGUAACAAAAAUGUUUUCAAUCAAUAAAUAUAAAAAGUAAGAUAAUAUUAUUAAUUCUUUUUUUCUACGGGUUCUGUACCCUAACUCCCUUUUAUUGAUGUCCUUGCAGAACAUGCACAUAUUUGGACAUAUUAAAGGGAAAUGAAUUUGAACACUAUCGUCUAUGUGCUUUUUUUCUUGACAUUUUUGUUUUUAAAGCUUUUAGUUCUGCCAACUAAUUAAAGACUUUCUGUUUAAAAUUUUCAAAAGGAGUUUGGAAUUGUUAUCAUUUUACAGUUUAAUUGAAAUGUAUACGUUUGAGGGAUAUACACGUUUGAGGGAUAUACACGUUUGAGGGAUAUACACGUUUGAAAGAUUUACAUAUUUACAAGUGAAUGACCGAUUGUUCUUAUACAGUGACAAACAUUAUUUAAACGACUCAAAACUUAUCGGUCCUGAUCUUGUAGUUGACUCCAGUUAAGACUCAUAAAGGUGACCGUAUGCAACACUGCAUUCACGAAUUUAAGGCUUAUUCUAAGCAAUGUCUACUAUGAGCUUUAUCAUGUUUAUUUGUAAAGGUAAAUCCGGAAAAGAGCUUCAGACGCAAGAAAUGUAUAAUGUGUUGCUUUUAUUUUCAUAUCAAAACCUAUGUUAGGAAAUUUGAUAUCAUUACAUCUCAGCCCCUUUGUUCGAACAGGGGUAAUCUGAGCCGGAUCAUCCCUACCAGAUCACCCCAGUUUGAGUUUCUUUGUUAUGCAUGCUUUUCUUUGUUCUGUAACAUUUUGGCGGGAAUGUCAAAUCCACUAUAAAACUUAUAAUUAAUUAUACGGAAAAGACUAACUAUCAAAAUUCACGUAGAAAAAAUCCAGUGUAUAUAUUAGGACGAACUCAAGACCUUUAGCAUAUUAAGCCACGACACAUACCACUACACUAGGACGACUGGAUACGAACUAUCAGUAAUUUAACAUACUUAAAGGAAACAAGAUAUUUUUUAUAAGUGGGGCAAGUUGACAUACCUUUAUUCAGUGGGGUUUAAACCCUUUUCGUUGAUUAGUGAGAUGUCAGACUGAUUGUUCAAUUUAAUUUUACACUUUUUCAAAAGUGGGGCGAGUCGGUAAACAAGAGUGGGGCGAUUUUUGUAUAAGGUGGCGAUAUAGUGUGGGCCGAUUGGCCAGUAGUGCGAGUUGACAUUGUUUGAUAUCUACUCAUCGUGUUCGGGGGUCAUACAUAGUAUACAUCAUAUGGUAAUAUAUAAAGUAUAUAAUAAUGGUUGUGCGGCGUUCUAAACUAGAUUUUAUGAAUUUUAAAUGGAUUUUCGUCUAAUAAAAAACAGCUGGGAUGUAAAACAGUUAUCCUAUUUUGACUUGGUCAUCGGGGUGAUCUAAAACUGACACACCGCGACCUCGAGGGAUAACUAUUAAUGAUAUUCUUUUUGUUAAUGAAAUUACUGAAUAAGAAAAACUUAAAUUUGAUUUGUAAAGAUCAUUAAACUAGAAUCAACCUUAGGUUAAAUGUUAGGUGUAUUUAAAAGGCCAUACAAAUAAGACAGGGUGAAGGACGUUGUAUUUCAUUGGUUUUAUCAAACGGUAGCUGUGAAUGCAUUAAAGUUAAAGACAGAAUGUAUGAUUGAAUUCUUAUAUGAAACAUGCCGACAAGAUAUAAUUUAGUAAAUAUAUGGCGUUCAAUCGUAUUAAGUAGAAAUAUAAAAAAAGAAUAUAAUGUUUAACGGGUUGAACAAUAACAUUUGAUACAUUCAAAAAUGUGUAGGUCUUUACAGUUGCACUCUUAUUUUUGUGUGACACACCUUUAGCAUUCUUUGUAUUUUUUUGCAUUGUGUUCUAAUUGUGUAUAAUAUUAACAUAUAAAAACUAAGACAUGAAAUUAAAUUUUUUAAGGUAGCUCAUAUCCCUGCCACUCUAUUAGAGGAUAUUGUACCACGCGUAGAUGUAGAAAAGGAUACUUUUACAAUCCGUCGGAUGAUGUAAACAGCCAUCCAGAUUGUUCGUAUACACAACAUUGCUGUCAACCUUGUAAGUAUUUUUAAUUCUGAACGUCAUUUUUGGUGUGUAUACUACAUUUAAUUCAGACCAGAAUAUUUCGUGCAUUAGUUAAUCAAUUUUGGUCAACACAUAUGUGUAACGAAAAUAUAAAGUAACGAUUAUGUGCUUUCAAAACACUAGAAUUGCUAGUUCUGUUAUACAUUCAAAUAUAAAUUAUACAUUCGGAACUGUGCUAGUUACAAGUAGAAAGAUCUUCUUUUGCAUGUAUGAUGCAUAUACAAAAAAUAUUUUGAAGAUUUAAAAACUCGACUCGAUCAUCAGUACAACACAGGAAUCGAGUAGUCGAAGAGGAAAACACAACUGAUCUAUUUCCAUGUAUCUUACGAUCACUAAUUUACACAUAUGUACACUCAGGAUCAAAUUACUGCUGCCAUCACAAUACAGGUAUUCUUUAUCUUUUAUAAUAAUAUUAGUGUGUAACGUCUAUGCACAGUUUUUACAAGUAAAUCGCAAGGUGCAAUUUCUUAUCCUUCUAGAAAAAUUUAGUUCACUUUCGCUUUUUCCCUUCCAUUUGUGAUCAUUACUGUUGUGCCGACAGAACUUUAAAAUUAAUGAUUACAGACAUAUAAUGCUGCACACCUUCUUGAAUAAGAAAUCCCUGUAGAAUGUGAUUAGUUCAUCAAAUAGUAUUAAUGUGAUAGGUUCAUAUACAUAGAAAAACAGAUCAAUAAGAAGAAAUGUCGAACAUUAAAAAAGAGAAAUUAGCAGAACAAAACACCUUAAAUGUAUGUAAAGGGAGAAUAUUAAUUCUACAACGUAUGUAUGAUGCAUACGUUAUAUUCAAAUCUGUUUCUUUUUCAGAUGAUGUCGGAUACUAUGGUGGCCGCUAAGCAAACUCUUUUAACUAUUAUCGAGAAGUAAAUG